AAUUUGACGGAUGCUAUUUCCGGUGCUAUAACUCCCAAUAAUUUUAUUAUUCCACUUCUCUUGUGAAUAGUGAUUAUAUCAUUUAAUUAAUAUUAUUAAAAAUAAUCAAACAAAAUAAUAAUUAUUUUGUCAAUAUUUACUUGUUUUAUCUCAGUUUUGUUAAAAAUUGAUACAAAUAAGCUUUUGUUAAACUUAACUUGACCUUGCUAGUUCUUUUCCGUUCAGCUACCGCGAUUGGAACAUGUCUUAUUCACCUGAAAGAAGACAAGAAGAUUGGCCGGAGGAUUCCAAAAAUGGGCCUAAGGAUCAAGGAAACUAUGACGGCCCUCCGGGUAUGGAUCCCCAAGGAGCACUCGAUACAAACUGGCAUCAAGUCGUGGAAAGCUUUGAUGACAUGAAUUUGAAAGAAGAAUUGCUGAGAGGAAUUUAUGCUUAUGGCUUUGAAAAGCCAUCAGCUAUUCAGCAGCGCGCCAUUAUGCCGUGUAUCCAAGGUCGCGACGUUAUAGCUCAAGCCCAGUCUGGAACUGGAAAGACAGCUACUUUCUCUAUUUCUAUUUUGCAACAAAUAGACACUAGUAUUCGUGAAUGCCAGGCAUUGAUUCUGGCUCCAACCAGAGAGUUGGCCCAACAAAUUCAAAAGGUGGUAAUAGCUCUUGGUGACCACUUAAAUGCUAAAUGUCAUGCUUGUAUUGGAGGCACCAAUGUGCGUGAGGAUAUCCGCCAACUGGAAAGUGGUGUUCAUGUGGUUGUGGGUACUCCAGGCCGUGUGUAUGACAUGAUAACUCGUCGUGCUCUACGUGCUAAUACCAUCAAGCUCUUUGUGCUUGAUGAAGCUGAUGAGAUGUUAUCCAGGGGUUUCAAAGAUCAAAUCCAUGAUGUAUUCAAGAUGCUCUCUGCUGAUGUUCAAGUCAUUUUACUCUCGGCUACUAUGCCAGAUGAUGUGUUGGAAGUUUCACGCUGCUUCAUGAGAGAUCCUGUGCGCAUUCUUGUCCAGAAAGAAGAGCUUACUCUGGAAGGGAUUAAACAAUUCUUUAUUGCUAUUGAAAUGGAAGAGUGGAAAUUGGAGACACUUUGUGAUUUAUAUGAUACCCUGUCAAUUGCGCAGGCUGUCAUUUUCUGCAACACCCGUCGCAAGGUGGACUGGCUUACUGAGUCAAUGCAUGAGCGUGACUUCACCGUGUCUGCUAUGCACGGUGACAUGGACCAACGCGAGCGUGAGGUGAUCAUGAGGCAGUUCCGUACUGGAUCUUCUCGUGUUCUGAUCACCACGGACUUGCUUGCGCGUGGUAUUGACGUGCAGCAAGUCUCUUGCGUCAUCAACUAUGAUCUACCAACUAACCGCGAAAACUACAUUCACAGAAUCGGAAGAGGAGGUCGUUUCGGCCGUAAAGGAAUUGCUAUCAACUUCGUGACUGAAGCUGAUAAGAGAGCAUUGAAGGAUAUUGAGGAGUUCUACCAUACAACUAUUACGGAAAUGCCCAGCGAUGUGGCUAACCUCAUCUGAGGAGCCUGCGCUUCCUGGUUUAUACUUUGUGUCCUGCGUUCUAUCUAUUGCGAUAUUUAUAAGAAGAUCUACCUGAGCCUGUUGAAACGCACUUUGGACACAACUAUGUGGAAAUAAUAAAUCAAAAUUUCCUUAAUAAGUUACUUUCUUUUGACAGGUCCUUAUUGUAUCCUGUAUUCCCAUUUUGCUUUUGCAUUUUACUUUUUAAAUUUGUUUUCUACAUGGUUUAUAUGUUCAUUUCGAAUUAUUUAUAUUUUUGGAAUAAAUUUUGUUCGAAAUAUUAGUGACUUUUACGAAGCUUGGUAAUUAAGGUUCCUAUUAUACCUACUAGUAAAGAUAAUAUACGUAUAGGUACAUUUAAAGGGAACUAUGUAAUUAGUUUUACAUUAUGUAUAUCGUACAUUUUCAGUAUUGAUUAUUAAUAACUUGGUGAUCUCUUG